rnacentral:rRNA from 1 species
AACGAACGCUGGCGGCGUGCCUAACACAUGCAAGUCGUGCGAGAAAGUUCCUUCGGGAGCGAGUAAAGCGGCGCACGGGUGAGUAACACGUAGGUAACCUGCCCCCCAGUCUGGAACAACUAGAGGAAACUCUAGCUAAUGCCGGAUGAGACCACGAUCCCUUCGGGGGUUGCGGCCAAAGAUGGCCUCUACUUGUAAGCUAUCGCUGAGGGAUGGGCCUGCGGCCAUUAGCUUGUUGGUGAGGUAACGGCUCACCAAGGCUGUGAUGGCUAGCUGGUCUGAGAGGAUGACCAGCCACACUGGGACUGAGACACGGCCCAGACUCCUACGGGAGCAGCAGUGGGGAAUAUUGCGCAAUGGGCGAAAGCCUGACGCAGCGACGCCGCGUGGGUGAUG